UCCAGGGCUCGGAGGCGAUAGUAUCCGUCCCGCUCGCCGCCGCCGCCGCCGCCGCCGCCGCCCUCGCUCCGUGCUCGCGCCGCCGUCCUCGUCGUCCUCCGGCAGGCUUGGAGGUGCAGGUGUGAGGCGCGACCGCGGGAUAUCGUGUCCUCGAGGGCCACCCGACAUAUCCUCGUCGCUCGGAUCGCUCUCAAGGACGAAAAGAUAAUUAAGAGAGACCACAGAACACACAAGAAUGAGUGAAAAAGGAAAUAAAUAAAAAAAAAAACUAAAAAAAAA